AGAGGGUGCAAGCGUUGCUCGGAUUUACUGGGCGUAAAGCGUACGCAGACGGUCUAGCAAGUCGGAUGUGAAAGCCCCGGGCUCAACCUGGGAAAUGCAUUCGAUACUACUAGUACUUGAGUUUGGGAGAGGGAAGCGGAAUUCCUGGUGUAGAGGUGAAAUUCGUAGAUAUCAGGAGGAACACCAGCGGCGAAGGCGGCUUCCUGGCCCAAUACUGACGUUCAGGUACGAAAGCGUGGGUAGCAAACAGGAUUAGAUACCCUGGUAGUCCACGCUGUAAACGAUGAGUGCUGGAAUGUCGGGGGUAUUCACCCCCUCGGUAUCGAAGCCAACGCGUUAAGCACUCCGCCUGGGGAGUACGGCCGCAAGGUUG
rnacentral:rRNA from 1 species